GAGACACAUUUAAAAUGUUAGCUUCACUGUCAAAAAUAGAUAUGGAGUGGACUGUUUACUCAAUACAAUCUAAAUCUGAUACCUCACUGUCUGUCUUCUGACUGAUACUGCUUUUUAAACUGGUCUGGUCAGUCUACUCAAAUAUUUGUAAUUUACAUUUUGCUUUUUACAAGUAAUAUUAUGAACAUGUAUAAUAAUAAUACAUGCAUUCAUUUAUGAAUAGAUAUGUUGAAAAAUAUACUGCCACUAUUUUCACCACCAAAGAAUAUCAGUGUGAUUUUAAUAUGAUUUGACUCUUUACAGGCUGUCAGGCUGUCUAGUCACAGAGGAAGGCUGUGGUUCUCUGGUCUCAGCUCUGAGGUCAAACCCCUCACACCUGAGAGAGUUGGACCUGAGCUACAAUCACCCAGGAGACUCUGGAGUCAGACUGCUCUCUGCUAGACUGGAGGAUCCACACUGCAGACUGGAGAAACUCAAUGUGGAACAUGGUGGAGAGUACACAAUGAAACCUGGGCUUAGAAAAUAUGUCUGUGAUCUCACACUGGACCCAAACACAGUAAACAGACUCCUCUCUCUGUCUGAGGAGAACAGAAAGAUGACAUGGAGGAGAAAGAAGCAGCCGUAUCCUGAUCACCCAGAGAGAUUUGAGGUCUGGCCACAGGUGCUGUGUAGCGAGGGUCUGACUGGGCGCUGUUACUGGGAGGUAGAGUGGAGUGGGAGACAGGUUGGUAUAGGAGUGACAUAUAAAGUAAUCAACAGGAGAGGAGAGUUUAAUGACUGUUGUCUUGGAUACAAUGACAAGUCCUGGAGUCUGCGCUGCUAUGACAACAGUUACAUUGCCAGGCACAAUAAUAAACCCACUACCAUAGACGUCCCCUCCUCCAGCUCCCACAGAGUAGGAGUGUAUCUGGACUGGCCAGCCGGCACUCUGUCCUUCUAUAGAGCCUCCUCUGACACUGACCCACCUGAUCACAUUCACCUCCACAUUCACUGAGCCACUCUUUCCAGGGUUUAGGGUUUAUGAUGACUCCUCAGUCUUAAUAAUAACCUGACACACACACUGGACACACACUGGACACACACACACUGGACAAACUGACACACUCACACACACACAAUGACACACACACACACACACACACACACACACACACACACACACAAUGACACACACAGGACUCACACACAGACAAUGACACACACACACACACUGAACACACACACACACAGAAAACUAACAAACACACACACAUACUGAACACACACACACUGGACACACACUGGACACACACACAGACACGCUGGACACACACACUGAACACGCGCACACACACACACACCGGGGACACACACACACGGUACUGAAACACACAUGACAGACACACACACACACCUUACACACGCACACACACACCGGAAACACACUCACUGACACACACACACUGAACACACACACACACACACACUGAACACACACACACACACUCUGAACACACACACACACACACUGGACACACACACACACACACUGGGCACACACACUGGACACACACACUGGACACAAACUGGACGCACACACACAAUCACACACACACACACACACACACACACACUGGACACACACACACACAAUGACACACACCCACACACAGUGACACACACUCACACUGGACACACACACACACACUGGGGGGGGACAGACAGGACCCACACACACAAACACACACUAGACAGAAACACACUGGACACACACACCGGAAACACACACACACACACACACACUGAACACACACAAACACACACACACAGCGGGGACACACACAGGACUCUCACUCUGAUACACAAACACUGACACACACACACACAAAGAAAUGAACACACACACACUGACACACACACUCACACACACACACACACAGCGGACAAACACACACACUGGACACACACACGGAGACACACACGCUGGACACACACCGACACACACACAGUGUGAUUUUAUGAUAUAUUUUACUGUUUGUGUUUGUACCACAGGAGGUUGGUGGGACCUUAAUUGGGGAGGACAGGCUUGUAAUUGUUGGAGGGGAAUAAGUGGAAUGGUAUCAAACACGUGCUUUCCAUGUGUUCCAUUUCAUUCACUCUGUUCCAGACAUUAUUAUGAGCCGUCCUCCCCUCAGCAGCCUCCUCUGGUAUGUACUGUCCUAUAUGUGAGAGAGGUCCAACAAGGAAUUACAAUGUAUGUAUUACUUUUAAAACCUGAAAAUGGCAAAUGAACUACUUGAACUCCUUAUGAAUGUCUGCAGCCGACUAGGCUGUUGGCGUCUGACAAGAGGUGAAAAUAUUACAGGAAUAUUCUCCAAAUAUUGAUGACGACGUCACUCAAUACACCCAAAACAACAUGCAGUCUUUAAACAAGACUCCCAGGUGUGACGUUAUGCGUUGACGUUAAAGUAACAUUCUCAGAACAUACUGCACUUGUUUUAUACUGUUUUAGAUGGAUCCUCUGUUUAAACUCUUACAAAAACACCGUUAAAAUACCAAUGUGAUCAUUUUUGGUGCGUCUUUUAUGUUGAAUAACAAAUUGUACAAUUAUAUAUGGACAUAUGCUCCAUAGUUGUACAAGUAUACA